rnacentral:rRNA from 1 species
UACGUAGGGGGCAAGCGUUGUCCGGAUUUAUUGGGCGUAAAGAGCGUGUAGGCGGCCAGACAGGUCGGUUGUGAAAACUCGAGGCUCAACCUCGAGAUGUCGAUGGAAACCGUCUGGCUAGAGUCCGGAAGAGGAGUGUGGAAUUCCUGGUGUAGCGGUGAAAUGCGCAGAUAUCAGGAAGAACACCUAUGGCGAAGGCAGCACUCUGGGACGGUACUGACGCUGAGACGCGAAAGCGUGGGGAGCGAACAGG